UACGGGAGGCAGCAGUGGGGAAUAUUGCACAAUGGGCGCAAGCCUGAUGCAGCCAUGCCGCGUGUAUGAAAAAGGCCUUCGGGUUGUAAAGUACUUUCAGUCGUGAGGAAGGUGUUAAGGUUAAUAACCUUAGCAAUUGACGUUAGCGACAGAAGAAGCACCGGCUAACUCCGUGCCAGCAGCCGCGGUAAUACGGAGGGUGCGAGCGUUAAUCGGAAUUACUGGGCGUAAAGGGCACGCAGGCGGUUAAUUAAGUUGGAUGUGAAAUCCCCGGGCUUAACCUGGGAAUGGCAUUCAAGACUGGUUAGCUAGAGUCUUGUAGAGGGGGUAGAAUUCCAUGUGUAGCGGUGAAAUGCGUAGAGAUGUGGAGGAAUACCGGUGGCGAAGGCGGCCCUGGACAAAGACUGACGCUCAUGUGCGAAAGCGUGGGGAGCAAACAGGGAUUAGACUAC
rnacentral:rRNA from 1 species